UACGGAGGAUCCGAGCGUUAUCCGGAUUUAUUGGGUUUAAAGGGUGCGCAGGCGGGAGAUUAAGUCGGCGGUGAAAUUUUGCAGCUCAACUGUAAAAGUGCCUUCGAAACUGGUUUCCUUGAGUGUAGAUGAAGUAGGCGGAAUUUGUGGUGUAGCGGUGAAAUGCUUAGAUAUCACGAGGAACUCCGAUUGCGCAGGCAGCUUACUAAACUACUACUGACGCUCAGGCACGAAGGCGUGGGGAGUCAAACAGGAUUAGAUACCCGCGUAGUCCCU
rnacentral:rRNA from 1 species